rnacentral:lncRNA from 10 species
GCAGCUGACGCCCGCUUAUUAGCUCUCGCUGCGUCGCCCCGGCUCAGAAGCUCCGUGGCGGCGGCGACCGUGACGAGAAGCCCACGGCCAGCUCAGUUCUCUUCUACUUUGGGAGAGAGAGAAAGUCAGAUGCCCCUUUUAAACUCCCUCUUCAAAACUCAUCUCCUGGGUGACUGGUAAGGAUGAACUUAAACUGCCGUGUUGAUUGUUGACUGUGACGGUAAUGAGAAUGGCUCAGCCAGCUAGGGUUCGAAUCCUGCCUGGGUUUCUCUCACUGCCUGCCUUGGUGAUCUUGGUUACUUAAAGGCUCUAAGCUUGAGUUUUCUCAUCCAUCAAAACACACACCUACUACUUGGAAGAUGAACUGUUCUCAUCAGCAACAUGCUAUUAUGUCAUCUUUUAGGACUAGGUAAUGCUCCAGUGACUUAAUACCAAUGACAUUUUCAUGUUGUCCACAAAUUCUGAGUAGAAACCUUUUCAAGCCUGUAGCCUCUCUGAGAGCUGACUGUUAUUAACUGAAUGAGAGGAUGUCAGCAAACAGAGUUAAUAGAGUGGAUACAACCUUGCUGAAGAUGAAGAAUAUACAAUAUUGAGGAUAUUUUUUUCUUUUUUUUUUCAAGUCUUGAUUUGUGGCUUACCUCAAGUUACCAUUUUUCAGUCAAGUCUGUUUGUUUGCUUCUUCAGAAAUGUUUUUUACAAUCUCAAGAAAAAAUAUGUCCCAGAAAUUGAGUUUACUGUUGCUUGUAUUUGGACUCAUUUGGGGAUUGAUGUUACUGCACUAUACUUUUCAACAACCAAGACAUCAAAGCAGUGUCAAGUUACGUGAGCAAAUACUAGACUUAAGCAAAAGAUAUGUUAAAGCUCUAGCAGAGGAAAAUA